GCCCAGGUGGCUCAGUUGGUUGAGCGUCUGACUUUGGCUCAGGUCAAGAUCUCAUAGUUCAUGGGUUCGAGCCCCGUGUCAGGCU
rnacentral:tRNA from 1 species